UCUUUUGAUGUGUCCUUGUCUCCACCUCAGGUACUUGGACGGCCUGCCUGUUGAGGCGAGGUUGUGGAUGUCCCUGGCCCCAGUGUUCCCUGCUUUGGAUGAUGUGGGGCAGCAUCCACUUGAAUGCACUUCACCAAGGAGGCCAAGGUUUUGGAAGGAAGCCCUUCUCCACUCCCAUCUCAAUAUUAGACCAUCGGAGCAUGGGACAGGAAGCUCUGGCCCCCCACCCUGGAGUCCUGAUCAGUGUACACAGCUGCCUGUCCCUUUCCCUUGUGUCCAUCUGUGAGCAGUCUUCUGCCAGGUCCGGGGUCAACCUGGGAGGCCCUUCUUUGCUCGCCGCCUUGACCUGGAAGCUUGGGUCAGCAGACCUAAGGCCAUCCUGGCAGCUGUACUGCUCACCCUGAAAAUAUUUAUACAAAGAUCAAGAUCGUUAACAAUAAAAAGUUCACAUUUUAACUGUAAGUUGAUCAUUAGAUCGUUUCCUAGGAUCCAUGUAAGGGUGAUGGGAAGUUUGGGGAAGAGUUUCUGUGUAAAAACCACAAGGCGGCGCUUAGGGCUGGUGGUGGGACUUGAGGGCCUAUGAGGUUAGGGGGCUCUGAGAACUGCAGAGAGCAGGAAGAGAAUGAAUGUGAGGUCCAAGGGAGCUGAUGGUUGGGAUGCUUGGCCCAUUGCAACUGGGCAACUUUCUCCAUAAACUGGCCAAGAACGAUGGUCCUCCUAAACCUUACCUAAGCUGGUUUAUAAGGAAAAGACUUCAUACUGAGAGGUAAAGAGGAGCCAGGGAGUCUAGGGAUGACUUUGUCCUGACACUAAAAGGUACAGGUGGGAGAAUAAUAGACUUCUGCCUCCAUCCACAGAGCAGUAAUAAACAAUGCCUGCCAAUGCUGGGAGUUAGGCUGUUAGAACAGAGAGCUCUAUAAUGCUUCCUAAGGGGACUAACUAUUCUGAAGCAAGAAUGAGAAGACUCAAAUGCAAGGACCUAUUAAAAUGUAGAUCUUGCUGGCAAGCAAUCAAGAGAAGAUUAGCUACAAUAGUGCUGGUAGCAAGUGAAAACAAUGGAUAGUUCCUCUUUACAAACAAGAGCAUUAAGCAGCUGAGAAAACCCCUCUUGAUGUUAGGAGAAAACCUCAAAGACCUUCCCUGCCUUAGAAAGCAUCUGAUUGAAUUUCACUCUGGGGCUCCUGGUUUCAGAGUCAGCACUCAGACCAUGACAGAAAAGACUAGGUAGAAUGGUAUGGUGGGAGAAGAUGUGACAGACGUGUUAAGGUCUUAACGUAUCAGAAAGCAGAAAGAGGACCAGAAUCUGUGUAGGCUCUGUCCUUCAAAACCCACCCCUAGUGAUCCAUAUCCACCAGCUAGGAGACCCGUCUUCCAAAUACUCCACAGCAGUACUAUAUGGGAACCAAGUUCUUAAACAUAUGAGCCUGUCGGAAGCAACUUAAAUCCAAGUCACAGCAUUCACAUUUAUUUAUAUCAGUGUGGAUGCAUACAUGUUUAUUCUAUACUUUGUGUUAUCAUUCAAUAUGUCUAUAUUCAUUUUAUUGUGUAUAUUGCUGCAAUUUGAUAGAGACUUUUUUUCUUCCUUUGGCAUACCUCCAUCCUUGUAGGUGUGUGUGUUGGGGGGUCAAUACUUUGGAGAAAGUACUGGAAUUCAAGACCAGACGCUUGUAUAUGCAAGAUAUACUGUCUGAUUUUUGGUUUUGUUUGUCAAGUUGGGAAGAAGGAACAUUUGUUUAAGAACUGCCUUUAUUAGCUAGCCUUUGGGCAUGUGUGUGGGACAUCUUCUUGACUGCUGAUUGAUAGAGGAAAGGUCUAGCCCACUGUGAGUGGUCCCUUGCCUAGGUAGGUGGCCAUAGGUUAUAUAAGAAAGGUAGCAUAGUAAGGCAGAGCAGAAGCCAGCAAGCAACAUCCAUUCAUGAUUUCUGCUUCAGAUUCGGCCUCCAGAUUUCUGUGCUCAAGUUCCUGCCUUGACUUCCUUCCACAGUGGACUGUCACCUGUAAGUCAAAUAAACCCUUUCC